rnacentral:sRNA from 1 species
AACAAACAAAACAAAAUUAUUGGUAACGCUCCCCAAGGAGAAACCUCUAGUGGCACCAACAAAACCCCUCCAAAGUCUUGCCACGUCGAUGACGUCUACAAUUGUAAAAGCAGAAAAUGUUGAAGAAGGACAGAGAAAAAUGGGGUUUACCAGGAGGGGAGAGGAGAGAAGAGGAGGUUCGGUUUGUGCAAUGACAAGUUGUUGUGAUUUAAUGUUUUCCAUCUUUUCCCCCCACCCGUCAUGGCUGUCGCUGACGGAUAUAUUAAAGCUUCGAUUAUGCCAUCAUCAGGAGGAGAAGGACCAGGACAACAGGCGGGGAGGACCCUCUGUGUGUUUGCUCAUGUGUCUGUCUGUCUGUCUGUCGUAUCUGUUCGGGGGAGAGGGUGCAGGCAUUGAGGCAGACAACAAAUUGUUAGACGCUA